UACGUAGGCAGCGAGCGUUGUUCGGAGUUACUGGGCGUAAAGAGUGCGUAGGCGGUUUUCUAAGUUUGGUGUGAAAUCUCCCGCUUAACUGGGAGGGUGCGCCGAAGACUGGAAGGCUUGAGUAUGGGAGAGGUAAGCGGAAUUCCUGGUGUAGCGGUGAAAUGCGUAGAGAUCCGGAGGAACACCAGUGGCGAAGGCGACACGCUGGGCCGUACCUGACACUGAUGCGCGACAGCAUGGGGAGCAAACAGG
rnacentral:rRNA from 1 species